UCUCAUGAGAACAUUAAAUUUCAUCAACUUACAUAGUACGGACUAUUUACUUCCAAGUUGUGCUCCUUGCAUCCUUGAUUAAUGGGAACAACUCAGCUCAUGGAAUCUCAAAGUAAAUGGAUCACAUUGCCAACUAAUAUUAGCAAUAUAUUACUCCUACAUCUCAUGUCUUGUCCUGUUCAAUACACCUAGGCACUUGACAAUUGGUGACAGUUGCAGUUUUCCAUGUUGCUAAUUACUCCCUUAGAGGGGUACAUCAGAGUCAACACAAUGGAAGGGGAAAAACUAAAAAAGCAUCGGCGACUUUGUAGACUUGUAUGCAGUCUUCAUACUUUAUAAUGUCUCAUUGUACGUUCUUGAUGUGAUGCAAGACCGGUUUCUCUCUAGUGUCCAGCCAUCCCUCUGCUUAAUACAGAGUUCAUCUCUCUUAACAUUGAAAAAAAAUAGAGUUCUUCUCUCUUCCUAGCUCUUCUCUUGAUUUGUCCAUGUUGACCAUGUCGCCGAAGAUCCAUGAUCAACGUGGCCAUUUCUGUUCUUAUUGAAGUUUUUUUACUGAAGAGAUCUUGUUGUUGGGAGUUGGGACUUGGGAGGGACCAAUUUUUCUGAACAUAUAGCACUCUCCUUCAGUCCUUCUGCAGCACUCUGACCAAUGGCAUGAUAAUUUGUAUCCAUAUUUCCGGUGAUCUCAGGUUUUAUCUUGGUGGUUUCCUGCUGAACCUUCUGCUAUCGAUCCAUCGAAAAAUCUAGUGAGUUGAUAGUUGCAGGAAACUGAUGCUAUCAAUCCGUUGAAAAAUCAAAUGGGUCGAUAGUUGCAGGAAACUGAUUUUGCAAGACUAUAGCUAAUUCUUACCGUCGGCAUAGGAUUAAUGCCGGAAAUAGGUCUGUAAUGAAAGGUACUGGUACUGCUAGGUACCAAAUAAAAUCCAACCAUUGAAUCAAAAGGGGCAUGAUGGGAAAAAAGAAUCGAUUUGCCGAGCGCCCCUGCUUCUGAACUGCUUGUUGACUCGCCAUCGUCCUCGAUUCUUCGCUGGCACGCCGCCGCGUGAGUGUUCUUCGACGGCAUCUUCUCUGACGCCAUUCCUUGCCGCCAGCGCCACCUGUGUGUUCUUCCGCGGUACCACUACUAGUGCCACGACCUUUAUUCAGCUGGUGCCCGGUGGCUGUGUUGUUAUUUCUCGAUCCGUCGCCGCCGGCGAUUAACUGCUCGUUGCUCUACGCGAUGCCGAUUAGUAUGGACGGAGGAGGCCAUAAAUCUUGUGAUAAUGAGAGGAUACCGUGAUUGAAAGGAGUGAGAGGAAAAAUCAGUGCGGAUGGUUCCGCCAUGGACUGAGUAGAGAAAAGAAAAAGGAAAGAAAGAAGGAUGAGAAAAAAAAGGCAGAUGGUUCCGCCAUGGACUAAGUUGAAGAAAAAAAUAAGAGAAGAAAAGAAGGAUGAGAGGAAAAAUCAAGGUAGAAUGGUAGAUGGUUCCAUCAUGGAUGAGUCGAGAAGAAAAAAAAGCAAAGAAAAAAAGACAGAUGGUUCCACUUCCGGCAUGGACGAGUAAGUGCCGUGCCGUGCGGCGAGGAUGCCGGUGACGGGUCGAAUUCCUGUUGUCGAGUCGAGGUGGGGAGAUGAGGCUGUUUGUUCCUCCUCGCUGCAAUGGAUGGGAGAAGAAAAGGGGAAGGAGCAGUGGAGCACGGUCCGGCGAGCGCAUUGAAUCAGGAUUCUAGCGAGAGGUGCACAGCUUUGAGGCUAAACACGAAAUUAUGGUUUUACCCUUCGGAUGGUUAGUACCGGGAGGGGUGAGCGCUUGUACCGCUAGGUACUGGAUGCUUGACAGCCGUCCGAUCAUCCUGGAUCGAUGGACCAAAUUUGGUACCGCUUCCCCGCUGGACGGUAAAAAGUCUCGGUCCAACAAAAAGUACCUCGAGGUAUAGUACCGGUACCUCACGGUACCAAAUCGUUUUCGAUCGUUGGAUUUAACAAUACUCAUCCUGCUCAGCUAGAUCCAAUGAUCAUAAACGUUUUGGUACCGUGAGGUACCGGUACCUCGAGGUACUUUUUGUUAGAUCGGAGUAAAUCUCGUAGAAAGGAGGAAGUGAGAGAAAUAGAGAUGGACGACUUGCUGUGAUACCGGUAUUUUCUUGCUGCUGCUUUAAUUUGUUGUAUGCAAAUUUGGUGAUUCAUGUGGAUUCGCCAAUUUAGUCACAAACAUGUGAUUCACGGCACAAGGAAAAAUACCGUUAGUAGAGGUACCAGUGACCAAGUUUGGUUUAGGGUUUCGGGUUCAGCCAUUCUAGCUCUACAUCUAUAUAAUGUGCAUACACUUCACCUUUCUUUUCUUUCCUCCCUUUGUUGCAGUUGUAGAAGCGUGGUCUAUGGUUUCCUCUUGCUGCUGGACUCAUAAUCUUCUGCUGUAUAUAUAUUCUGUACUUUGGCUCAUUCAAUCAAUUGUGUUUGGUCUUCACUAAUCUCACUCAAUUGAGAUUUGAAGUGGAUGUGUUGGUCAUGCAAACUGGUUACGAGAUGAUGGCUAGCAACUAUUUUUCGAGAUGAAGAGGGAAUUUUGUUAAUAAUUCAGAAUAAGAGUACAUUCUUCAGGAACUAUUUGCUCUAUAGAAUAAAAAAGGAAAUCAACAUAUCAAUAUCAACGGCAGAACGUUUUAAACAUUAUGCCAAUUGUGCAACCUCAUGAGCAAUGAAUUAUGUUUUCCUCAUCAUGAUCCGGCAGGACAAUUAAACCAGGUUGCUUGAUCCAAUCAACAGGAAGAGCUGAAUUAUUGGUUGCCUUGUCUACACGUUGGCCAUUCAACCUGUAUAUGAGGCCUGCAAAAUUAUUAUUACUAUACUUUUUUUUUCUGCUGAAUGAAAACAGUCAGUAAGAAUUGGAAUUAUUGCCAGCCUGCCUUUUUUUACAUUCAUCUGGUAUUUUGGCCUUGGUGGAUCUCCCCGUUUGUGUUUGCCUGAUGGCGGCGGUAUUAGAUGCUUUGAUUGUCUCAUGCAUCAAGAAGUUGCAGGAUAUCAUUACAGACAAUGCAAUACUCGUGCUAGGAGUAGAAGAAGAGCUCAGUGAACUGGUGAGAAAAACAGAUUACAUACGAUGUUCUCUUAAUGACGCUGAGACAACGAGGUUGGAUCAUGAAGCAGUUAAUAAUUGGCUUGGACAACUAAGAGAUGUUAUGUAUGAUGUCGAUGAUAUUAUUGAUUUGGCUAGAUUUAAAGGAAGCAUCCUACUAGCUGACCAUCCUUCAUCAUCAUCAAGCAAACCAACACGUUGCAAUUGCCCUUCGUGUCAUUGUAAUAUUUGGACACGUCAUGAGGUUGCUGUUAAGAUUAGAAGCCUGAACAAAAAGAUAGCGAACAUUUCAAAUGAUGAACUACUUCAAGAUCUCAGACGUAGACCGCAUCCGAGAAAUGGUUCGAUAUGGACACCGAUAAAAACCUCCAGCAUAGUUGAACCCAACCUUGUGGGUGAAGAGGUCAUACUUGCUUGCAGAGAAUUGGUGGAUUUGGUUAUUGAAAAUAAGGAAAAGAAAGAUUACAAGCUUGGUAUUGUAGGGACAGGAGGAGUUGGCAAGACAACACUUGCUCAGCAAAUAUAUAAUGAUGAAAAAAUAACAGGGAAUUUCGAUAAACAUGCAUGGGUUUGUGUUUCAACAGACAGCACACAAACUUCUCUAUUGGAAGAAGUUCUUCGGAUCAUGAAAAUUCGAUAUGGGAAAGCAAAAUCAGUUGAAGAGCUCCAAAACAAGCUCAAAUCAGCCAUUAAAGAGAAGAGUUUUUUCCUUGUGCUAGAUGAUGUAUGGGAAUCUAAUGCGUGGACUAAUUCACUUCAAAAACCAUUGCAUGCUGCAGCCAAGGGGAUAGUUAUAGUAACUACGAGAAAUGAAAAAGUAGCUCAGGAAAUUAAAGUGGACCAUACCCAUCAAGUUCAUUUGAUGUCAGAAAAUGUAGGAUGGGAUCUACUUUGGAAGAGCAUGGGCAUAACCGAAGAGAAACAAGUUCAUCAUCUGCGGGACAUAGGGAUUGAGAUUGUUCACCAAUGUGGUUAUCUCCCACUAGCAAUAAAGAUCAUCGCCAAAGUUUUAAUUAGCAAAGAGAAAACAAAUGAUGAAUGGAAAAGGAUAUUGAGCAACAAUUCGUGGUCCAUGAAUAAUCUUCCUGAUGAACUAAGAGCUUUAUAUCUGAGUUACAGUGAGCUAUCACACCAACUGAAACAAUGUUUUCUUUAUUGUGCUAUAUAUCCUGAACAUUCAACCAUUAACCGUGAUGAUCUUACUAGUAUGUGGGUGGCUGAAGGCUUCAUUGAUGAGCAGAAAGACCAACUACUAGAAGAUACAGCAGUAGAAUACUACAAUGAGCUGAUCCAUUGGAACCUCCUUCAACUAGACCUUUCAUAUUUUGACCUAGGUGGGUGCAAGAUGCAUGGUCUCUUAAGGCAGCUUGUUUGCUAUUUAUCAAGAGAAGAAUGUUUUGUUGGAGAUCCAGAAUCACAAAAUGGUAAUACAAUGAGUAAAAUGCGACGUGUUUCUGUGGUGACAGAGAAGGACACGGUGGUGUUACCAAGUAUGGAUAAGAAGCAGUAUAAAGUGAGGACUUACAGAACUUCAUAUUCCAAGUCACUGAGAGUUUACAAUCCACUUUUCAAGAGGCUUACAUAUCUCCGUGUUUUGGAUUUGACUGGCACACUUGUACAGAGCAUCCCAAGUCACAUUGGAAAUUUGAUUCAUAUGCGUUUGAUUAAUCUUGAUGGGACAAACAUAUCUUGUCUCCCAGAGUCCGUUGGUAACCUUCAAAAUCUUCAAGUACUGAACCUGCAAAGGUGUAAAUCUUUGUACAGGCUUCCUUUGGCAACCACGAAACUAUGCAAUUUAAGGCGGCUUGGUCUUCUUGAUACACCAAUAAAUAAGGUUCCAAAAGGGAUAGGAAGACUGCAAUUCCUUAAUGAUUUGGAAGGAUUUCCUAUUGGAAGUGUAACUUAUAAUAAAAAAAUGCAAGAUGGAUGGAAUUUGGAAGACUUGGCUGAUCUUUCACAGUUGAGGCGGCUUGUUAUGGUAAAACUAGAAAGAUGUACUCCUUGCAGCAGUGAAGAUUCAUUUCUCCUAACAAACAAAGAACAUCUGAAAGUUCUAUAUCUAGAAUGCACUGAACCAACAAAUGAAGCAUGUUCAGAUGAACAUGUUAAACAUGUUGAGAAUAUCUUUGAGCAGCUAGUCCCUCCACAGAACUUGAAAGAUCUAUCUAUUCUGAGAUUCCUUGGUCAGAACUUACCCUCCUAGCUUUGUAAUGUCUAUCUGCCUUCACUGAAAUAUUUGAUCCUCUCUGAUUGCAAAUAUUGCAUACAUCUUCCACCAAUAUGGCAGCUACCCAACUUGGAACGCCUGAAAAUUGUGAAAGCAACUGCAAUUACCAAGAUUGGACCCGAAUUUAUUGGGCAAUUUCCAAGAUCCAGGGAAGCAGUUGCUUUCCCCAAGCUUGAAUGGUUGAUCAUCAAUGAUAUGCCCAACUGGGAGGAAUGGGCCUUUAUUGAAGAAGAUGAGAUAUCACUUGCAGCAAUGAACGAAGGAGGAGGGGAUGGAACUGCUGUGGCCGAAGAGGAGGAGAUAUCACUUGCAGCAAUGAAUGAAGGAGGAGAGGAUGGAACCACUGUGACGGAAAAGGGGGAAGCCUCAUUUCCAAGGUUGUGUGUGCUGCCCUCUUUGAAGAGGUUGGACAUUGAUAACUGCCCCAAGCUGAGGGCUCUCCCACAACAGCUUGGACACGAGGCCACCAGUUUGAAAGAGCUCUCCCUUGUAGCAGCAAGCUGCUUGAAGUCGGUGAAGGACCUUCCAUCCCUAUCUGGUUUCCUUUCUGUUUGUAGAUGUGAAGGCCUGGAGAGGGUUACAGAACUUCCCAAAGUGAGAAAGCUGUUUGUAAGUGUUUGUCCAAAUUUGAGCUGUGUUGAGGAGUUAGGCAGUUUGGAGCAGCUAUGGUUGGAUGUGAAUAUGGAGGACUCAUCACCGUGGGUGCAUGGGCUUCGAGAGCAGUACCGCCACCUGGAUGUCUACACGUGGCCUAGAGAGUGAGAUGUGAAGACCCAACUAAAAGACAGUAGAUUAGUAGAGACACAAGGUUGUUAAUCUUGAAGAAUUUGGGCUGUGCAGUCACUUGUAAUAUGUAUUUUUGUUUUACCUAGUUAUUGGUCUUUGAAAUAUUAAAAAAAUUUUAUUUUUUUAAAAAAUAAAUAAAACAAAAAUAUCAAGAAAGGGAAAAUGUCAAAAAAAUAAAAAAUAUAUUUUCUUUAGCUCUUGUAAAAUAUAUUGUCAUGUUUCGUUAGAUUUUGCGUGUGUGUUUCUUUUCUUUUUAUUUUUUUUUGUAGGUGUGUAGGUAACUCCGCCUAUGUCAUCGUAGGUAUAACUAAAUGACAUAGCCGGUCCCCAGCCCGGAAAAAGGAGGAGGGGAUAGUUUGGUAUAGAUGUGUGUUGAAAUGAUGCUCCGUUGCUAGAUCAUUGGGAAUUUUCUGCACUUUUAUUAGAUUAAUUUCAUUUUCAGUGAUGGAAUAAUUGUGGAAACAUUUCUGGAGACUCAUCCACCCUUAUUGCUCUGUUGGACAAAUCUGAUUCUGAACUAUUUAAGCUAGCUUGACCAGACCACCAGGUCUAAGAGCUGCGAAUUGACAAGUAGGUGAAGGAAAUUCAGUGCCGACCAUGACCUGAUGAGGAGCAAAAAUUUUUUUCAAGUCUUGGAGCCCAAAUGUGCCUGAAGUCCUGAACAACAAGAUACAAUUUUGCUGCAGGAUCAAACAAUUUUGCUCCUCUCAUUUGUUUCUUGUCUUUACCUAGUUGCUGGUCUUUGGAAGAUUACAAAAACUGAAAAAAAAAAGAGUGAAAAGAACACGAAAAUUACAAAAAAAAA